AAGACCCUAUCGAGCUUUACUGGAUACCAGUAGCGUUAAUUUAGAAUGAUCGGUACCAAGUAUUCUAAUUUUAAGUUAAUAAUUUUUGUUGGCAGGACAGUUUAGUUGGGGCGACUACCUUUGAAUAAGAAACGAAGGCGAGCUUAUGGUAUUAUUAAAAUCUCAUUAGCCUGACAGUGAGGGGGACACCCCUAGCUGGCACUAGGACCUAUCCGUAUCGUAUAUAAUAUACACGUAAUGGGCUCCCAUGUGGGCGAUAAUGACCCGAUAUAAUUAUCCUCUAUUAAAUAUCGAAAGCGGAUAAAAGCUACCGCAGGGAUAACAGCGUAAUAUUGUCGGAGAGUUCUUAUCGA
rnacentral:rRNA from 1 species